AUGAUUCACAAAUGCAGAGGAUAAUCCUGAAUCUUUUAGCAUUUUCUUUGAGAUUAGAAGGCAGAAUUAUUAUGAAGCACAUGACAAGAGUGAUCGUAAAAUGAUGCUGGACAUUCUUAAAAGAGACCUCAAAGUACUUACUCUUUUCCAAGUAGAUCUUUACAGGGGACUUGUACGCCUUUUCCAAUUAAACAACUUCAGGUGCAUAUUACAGCGUCUUUUUGGUUCUCAUUAAUUGAUGCAAGUGAUUAUGCUGAUUCUGUUUGUAGUUUGGAUGAUUUGCAAUUGGUAACUCAGUAUUGGAAGUGAAGCUUCUUAGAAUGGUAUGAGCAAAAGAAUGCCUUUAAUUGCCCCCUAUAAACUGAGGCAAAAUGCGAUGCUUGGAUUUGAAAUUGAGGCAAAAAUGUUGUUCCGAGGUCAAAAUCAAGCAUUCUGGAUACAGAGAGUGCUGAACCAGAAAAUUUGAAGGUGGAAGGAGUGGUUGAUUUGUUUUCAAAAUAAUGCAUGUGCAGACUAUAUAAAAGGAUUCAUCUCAAAUCAGUUGAAUGAUUAAGUUGCCCGCUGUGCUUAUAUUCUUUCUAUUCUGUCAUGUCUUCUUUGUACUCUGUAGAAUUUUUCAAUCUGGGCUUUUCUGGUACUUGUACGAUUUUUUAAACUUUGUAAGAGUGUGUGAUGUGGAUGUAUAUGAAGCAAAACCACAUUGGUAUUAAGUAUAUGACAUAUUUUUCCGGAAAGCAAGAGAAGCUUUCGGACCAUGGAGAUGAGAAGUCAGCCGGGAUCCUACUGAUGGCUAAGCUUAAGCAGUUGAUUGAGGCAAAUCCACUAAUUGGUGAUAAGCUUCAGCUUCCUAUCUUGCAGAAGUCAAGACUAGAAACACUAGUCAAACUGAGCUUAGGUUGGUAGAUUCAGCAAUGCGAUACUAAAGGAUCUAAUCAUAAACUGUCCAAGAAUCUUCAAUAUGAGGACCCUUACUGUGAGGAAGCAACUGACACCAUCCCCUGUAGCUCAUGGAGUUGGAGAAUGAAUCAAGGCUUUUCUUUGAUAUCAAGUAUUUCUAAGAAUGUGUGAGCAAUGGAGACUGGGAGGAGGCGGAGAAGUGCUUAUCACGGUUCACAAAUGCAGAGGAUAACCCCAAAUCCUUUAGCAUUUUCUUUGAGAUCAGAAGGCAGAAUUAUUAUGAAGCACAUGACAAAAACCAAGAGAAGCUUUCUGACCAUGGAGAUGAUAAUUCAACCAAGAUCCUACUGAUGGCUAAGCUGAAGCGGUUGAUUGAGGCAAAUCCACUCAUUGGUGACAAGCUUCAGCUUCCUACCUUGUAGAUGUCAAGACUAGAAACACUAUUCAAACAGAGCUCAUGUUGGCAGAUUUAGCAAUGCGAUACUAAAGGAUCUAAUCAUAAACUGCCCAAGAAUCUUCUAUAUGAGGACCCUUACUGUGGUCAAGCAAUCGACACCAUCUCCUUUAGCUCAUGGAGUUGGAGAGGGAAUCAAGGCUUUUCUUUGAUAUCAAGUAUUUGUAAGAAUGUGUGAGCAAUGGAGACUGGGAGUAGGUGGAGAAGUAUUUAUCACGGUUCACAAAUGCAGAGGAUAACCCUGAAUCCUUUAGCAUUUUCUUUGAGAUAAGAAGGCAGAAUUAUUAUGAACCACAUGACAAGGGUGAUCGUAAAAUGAUGCUGGACAUUCUUAAAAGGGACCUCGAAGUGUUUACUCUUUCCCAAGUAGAUCUUUACAGGGGACUUGUACUCCUUUUCUAACUGAAUAACUUUCGAUGCAUAUAACAACGUCUUUUUUGUUCUCAUUGAUUGAUGCAAGUGAUUAUGGUGAUUAUUUUUGUAGUAUGGAUGAGUUGCAAUUGGUAACUCUGUAUUGGAAGUGAAGUUUCUUAGAAUGGUAUGACUAGAAGAAUGCCUUUAAUUGCCCCCUAUAAACUGAGGUAAAAUGUGAUAUUUGGAUUUGAAACUGAGGCAAGCAAGAUGUUUCGGGGUCAAAAUAAGGCAUUAUGGAUGCAGGGACUGCUAAACCAGAAAAUCCUAAGGUGGAAGGAGUGGUUGAUUUGUUUUCAAAAUAAUGUGUGUGCAAACUGUAUAAGAGGAUUCAUCUUGCUUGCCUUAUUUUGUGUACAAACUGUAUAAGAGCAUUCAAAAUAAUAUGUGUGCAAACUGUAUAAGAGCAAAUUGUAUAAGAGGAUUCAAGAUAAUGUGUGUGCAAACUGUAUAAGAGAAGACAUCUCCAUGUUUUUUCCAUUUUGUCAAUGUCUCCUUUGUACUCCGUAGAAUUUUUCAAUCUGGCCUUUUCUGGUACUUGUAAGAUUUUUUAGGCUUUGUAAGAGUGUGUGUUAUAGAUAUAUAAGAGGUUGAUUUUUUUAGGCCUUGUAAGAGUGUGCGUUGGGAAGAGUGUAUGUUGGUAAGAGUGUGUAUUGGUAAGAUUUUUUUGGGCCUUGUAAGAGUGUGUGUUGGUAAGAUUUUUUUAGGCCUUGUAAGAGUGUGUGCUGGUAACUCUGCAUUGGAAGUGAAGCUUCUUAGAAUGGUAUGACUAGAAGAAUGUCUUUAAUUACCCCCUAUAAAUUGAGGCAAAAUGUGAUACUUGGAUUUGAAACUGAUGCAAUCAAGAUGUUCCGGGGUCAAAAUAAGGCAUUCUGGAUGCAGGGACUGCUAAACCAGAAAAUCCUAAGGUGGAAGGAGUGGUUGAUUUGUUUUCAAAAAAAUGUGUGUGCAAACUGUAUAAAAGCAUUCAAAAUAAUGUGUGCAAACUGUAUAAGAGCAAACUGUAUAAGAGGAUUCAAAAUAAUGUGUGUGCAAACUGUAUAAGAGGAGACAUCUCCAUGUUUUGUCCUUUCUAUCAAUGUCUCCUUUGUACUCCGUAGAAUUUUUCAAUCUAGCCUUUUCUGGUACUUGUAAGAUUUUUUAGACUUUGUAAGAGUGUGUGUUGUAGAUAUAUAAGAGGUUGAUUUUUUUAGACUUUGUAAGAGUGUGUGUUGGGAAGAGUGUGUGUAAGAGUGUAUGUUGGUAAGAGUGUGUGUUGGUAAGAUUUUUUUAGCCCUUGUAAGAGUGUGUGUUGGUAAGGCGUUGUAAGAGUCUGUGUUGGUAAGAUUUUUUUAGGCCUUGUAAGAGUGUGUGUUGGUAACUCUGCAUUGGAAGUGAAGCUUCUUAGAAUGGUAUGACUAGAAGAAUGCCUUUAAUUGCCCCCUAUAAACUGAGGUAAAAUGUGAUACUUGGAUUUGAAACUGAGGCAAGCAAGAUGUUCUGGGGUCAAAAUAAGGCAUUCUGGAUGCAGGGACUGCUAAUCCAGAAAAUCCUAAGGUGGAAGGAGUGGUUGAUUUGUUUUCAAAAUAAUGUGUGUGCAAACUGUAUAAGAGAAUUCAUCUUGCUUGCCUUAUUUUGUAUGCAAACUGUAUAAGAGCAAACUGUAUAAGAGGAUUGAAAAUAAUGUGUGUGCAAACUGUAUAAGAGGAGACAUCUCUAUGUUUUUUCCAUUCUGUCAAUGUCUCCUUUGUACUCCGUAGAAUUUUUCAAUCUGGCCUUUUCUGGUACUUGUAAGAUUUUUUAGGCUUUGUAAGAGUCUCUGUUGUAGAUAUAUAAGAAAAAAAACCACAUUGGUAUUUGGUAUAUGACAUAUUUUUACAAAAACCAAGAGAAGCUUUCUGACCAUGGAGAUGAGAAUUCAACCAGGAUCCUACUGAUGGCUAAGCUGAAGCGGUUGAUUGAGGUAAAUCCACUCAUUGGUGAUAAGCUUCAGUUUCCUACCUUGCAGAUGUCAAGACUAGAAACACUAGUUAAACAGAGAUUCAGCAAUGCAAUACUAAAGGAUCUAAUCAUAAACUACCCAAGAAUCUUCUAUAUGAGGACCCUUGUAUAAGGCCUUGUAAGAGUGAGUGUUGGUAAGAUUUUUUUAGGCCUUGUAGGAGUGUGUGUUGGUAACUCUGCAUUGGAAGUGAAGCUUCUUAGAAUUGUAUGACUAGAAGAAUACCUUUAAUUGUCCCCUAUAAACUGAGGCAAAAUGUGAUACUUGGAUUUGAAACUAGGGCAAGCAAGAUAUUUCGGGGUCAAAAUAAGGCAUUCUGGAUGCACAGACCGCUAAACCAGAAAAUCCUAAGGUGGAAGGAGUGGUUGAUUUGUUUUCAAAAUAAUGUGUGUGCAAACUGUAUAAGAGGAUUCAUCUUGCUUGCCUUAUUUUGUGUGCAAAUUGUAUAAGAGGAAACUAUAUAAGAGGAUUCAAAAUAAUGUGUGUGCAAACUGUAUAAGAGGAGACAUCUCCAUGGUUUUUCCAUUCUGUCAAUGUCUCCUUGGUACUUCGUAGAAUUUUUCAAUCUUGCCUUUUCUGGUACUUGUAAGAUUUU